GACGAACGCUGGCGGCGUGCUUAACACAUGCAAGUCGAGCGGUAAGGCCCUUUCGGGGGUACACGAGCGGCGAACGGGUGAGUAACACGUGGGUGACCUGCCCUCAGCUCUGGGAUAAGCCUGGGAAACCGGGUCUAAUACUGGAUAUGACUCCAUGACGCAUGUUGUGGGGUGAAAGCCUUGUGCGGCUGAGGAUGGGCCCGCGGCCUAUCAGCUU
rnacentral:rRNA from 1 species